rnacentral:pre_miRNA from 1 species
AAAAAGGCAAACCCUGGGUUUCCGUGUCCAACUUUGACUGUUCGUCUUAUAUGAAAUUUUUUUAUAAUUCGUAUUUUCAUUGUUGUUAGAUGAUAAAACAUGAUUAAUAUUUUAUGCGUGUCUUGUCUUUUAAUUUUUUUCAUUAAUUUUUCAAAUAAGACGGACGGUCAAACAUUGGGCACGGAAACCAGGGUUUGUCUUUUU